rnacentral:rRNA from 1 species
GACGAACGCUGGCGGCGUGCCUAACACACGCAAGUCGAACGAAGUUAUUUAUGGAAGUCUUCGGACGGAAGUUUUUAACUUAGUGGCGGACGGGUGAGUAACGCGUGAGCAACCUGCCUUUCAGAGGGGGAUAACAGCUGGAAACGACUGCUAAUACCGCAUAACAUAUCGGAACCGCAUGGUUCUGAUAUCAAAGGAGCAAUCCGCUGAAAGAUGGGCUCGCGUCUGAUUAGCUAGUUGGUGAGGUAACGGCUCACCAAGGCGACGAUCAGUAGCCGGACUGAGAGGUUGAACGGCCACAUUGGGACUGAGACACGGCCCAG